rnacentral:misc_RNA from 1 species
UUUCCGUAGGUGAACCUGCGGAAGGAUCAUUCAUAAUAAGUGUUUUAUGGCACUUUUUUAAAUCCAUAUCCACCUUGUGUGCAAUGUCACGGUUGAUUUUUCUCUCGGGGGGAUCAACCCCAAACAUCAACUAUAUCUCAACUCUUUGUCUGAAAAAUAUUAUGAAUAAACCAAUUAAAAAUACAACUUUCAACAACGGAUCUCUUGGCUCUC